UAUUGUUAGGAAAUCAUAAAUAGACGAAAUAAAGACAAUUUGCGCGAAUUAUCCAAAUCGUAUUAGAAACACCCAAAAGUCCCCACACGAAUUUCCUUAUUUUUUCCCGAUCGUCCGUCCCCACCCCAUCGAAUCCCAACCCAUAUAAACACAGCUUUCAGUUUCACAGAAGAGAGAGAGAGAGAGAGAGGGAGAGAGUGAGUGAGUGAGUGAGAUGCUGUAUUGCUGUGUUAAGAAUUGGGAUUUGUGAAGAACCUUUUUAUUGUUUUGGGCAUAAAGGGAUCUGUGAGGCGAUGCGAUGACGACCGAAACGGUAUUCGUGCAGCUCUGUAAGGGCAUUAAUGGCCUCGACAAGGUGGUCUUGAGGGAGGUUCGUGGCAGUUCUGCUGAGGUGUAUCUGUACGGAGGUCAAGUUACAUCAUGGAAGAAUGAUCACGGAGAAGAGUUGCUGUUUGUUAGUAGUAAGGCUCCUUUCAAGCCUCCAAAGGCCAUACGUGGAGGCAUUCCGAUCUGUUUUCCUCAAUUUGGAAGCCAUGGUCUUCUAGAACAACAUGGAUUUGCAAGAAACAGGUUUUGGAGUAUUGAUCCUGAUCCUCCUCCUUUUCCAACAACUAGCUCCAAUAAAGCUUUUGUUGAUUUAAUACUUAAGCACUCUGAAGAAGAUACAAAGAUAUGGCCUCACAGAUAUGAAUUUCGCCUAAGGGUUACCCUGGGACCUGGAGGAGAUCUGAUGUUGACAUCCCGCAUUAGAAAUACGAACACUGAUGGAAAGGCAUUCACUUUCACAUUUGCCUAUCACAACUAUUUCUCUGUUUCUGAUAUCAGUGAGGUGCGCAUUGAAGGUUUGGAGACAAUGGAUUUUCUAGAUAACCUGCAGGAUAGACAGAGAUUUACUGAACAAGGGGAUGCGAUUACGUUUGAAUCAGAAGUGGACAAAGUAUAUUUCAGUACACCCACCAAAAUUGCCAUUCUGGAUCAUGAGAAGAAGAGAACAUUUGUGUUACGCAAGGAUGGACUCCCUGAUGCUGUGGUUUGGAAUCCUUGGGAUAAGAAGGCAAAGGCAAUCCCUGAUCUUGGGGAUGACGAGUACAAACACAUGCUAUGCGUUGAGGCUGCAGCUGUGGAAAAGCCCAUCACCUUGAAACCUGGUGAGGAGUGGAAAGGCAGGCAGGAGAUAUCUGCUGUUCCUUCCAGUUAUUUUAGUGGACAACUUGAUCCAAAAAAGGUUCUUCAAAGCAGCAGCUGAAAUGCAUCCUCUGUUCUGGUGCCUAUCUAUGUACAGGUACUUCACUGAGCAACAUGUACUCUUUAUUUCAUUCUAGGUCUGGUGCUUCAUGGUGAAUUCUUGCCAGGAUUUUAGUUUGAAGGCAGAUUCAUUCGCGGAAUUGCCAAUUAUGCAUUAUUUUGGAGCAAUAUUUUGGCAGUGGGAAGAAAAAUUGAAAGAAGUUAGCAACCAGUGAGUCUGGAACUUCUUUCUGCAUAAGUAUAUUUUUUUCUUCCUUUUUGUUACUUUUCCCAGCAAUGCCAUCUUUGGUGGAUUGACUCUUCAUAUAUCGAUGUCAUUUUAAAUGUGAUAGCUACCGUCAAAUACCCAGCAAUGAAUUGAUAUACAUAUAAAUCUUUACACUGUGA